AGAGGGGGUUAAGGAAUUCCAGGUGUACGGUGAAAUGCGUAGAGAUCUGGAGGAUACCGGUGGCGAAGCGGCCCCUGGACAAGACUGACGCUCAGGUGCGAAAGCUUGGGGAGCAAACAGGAGUAGAUACCCUGGUAGUCCACGCCGUAAACGAUGUCGACUUGGAGGUUGUGCCCUUGAGGCGUGGCUUCCGGAGCUAACGCGUUAAGUCGACCGCCUGGGGAGUACGGCCGCAAGGUUAAAACUCAAAUGAAUUGACGGGGGCCCGCACAAGCGUGGAGCAUGUGGUUUAAUUCGAUGCAACGCGAAGACCUUACCUACUCUUGACAUCCAGAGAACUUAGCAGAGAUGCAUUGGUGCCUUCGGGAACUCUGAGACAGGUGCUGCAUGGCUGUCGUCAGCUCGUGUUGUGAAAUGUUGGGUUAAGUCCCGCAACGAGCGCAACCCUUAUCCUUUGUUGCCAGCGGUUAGGCCAGGGAACUCAAAGGAGACUGCCAGUGAUAAACUGGAGGAAGGUGGGGAUGACGUCAAGUCAUCAUGGCCCUUACGAGUAGGGCUACACACGUGCUACAAUGGCGCAUACAAAGAGAAGCGACCUCGCGAGAGCAAGCGGACCUCAUAAAGUGCGUCGUAGUCCGGAUUGGAGUCUGCAACUCGACUCCAUGAAGUCGGAAUCGCUAGUAAUCGUGGAUCAGAAUGCCACGGUGAAUACGUUCCCGGGCCUUGUACACACCGCCCGUCACACCAUGGGAGUGGGUUGCAAAAGAAGUAGGUAGCUUAACCUUCGGGAGGCGCUACCACUUUGAUC
rnacentral:rRNA from 1 species